rnacentral:rRNA from 1 species
UACGGAGGAUGCGAGCGUUAUCCGGAUUUAUUGGGUUUAAAGGGUGCGUAGGCGGGAUGCCAAGUCAGCGGUAAAAAUGCGGUGCUCAACGCCGUCGAGCCGUUGAAACUGGCGCUCUUGAGUGGGCGAGAAGUAUCCGGAAUGCGCGGUGUAGCGGUGAAAUGCAUAGAUAUCACGCAGAACUCCGAUUGCGAAGGCAGCAUACCGGCGCCCUACUGACGCUGAGGCACGAAAGCGUGGGUAUCGAACAGG